rnacentral:rRNA from 1 species
GACAGAGGGUGCAAACGUUGUUCGGAAUUACUGGGCGUAAAGCGCGUGUAGGCGGCCCUGCAAGUCGGAUGUGAAAUCCCACGGCUCAACCGUGGAAGUGCAUUCGAAACUGCAGGGCUAGAGUCCUGGAGAGGAAGGUGGAAUGCUUGGUGUAGAGGUGAAAUUCGUAGAUAUUCGGAAGAACACCAGUGGCGAAGGCGACUUACUGGACACAUAUUGACGCUGAGGUGCGAAAGCGUGGGGAGCAAACAGG